CCUACGGGAGGCAGCAGUGGGGAAUAUUGGACAAUGGGGGGAACCCUGAUCCAGCGACGCCGCGUGAGUGAAGAAGUAUUUCGGUAUGUAAAGCUCUAUCAGCAGGGAAGAAAGAAAUGACGGUACCUGACUACGAAGCCCCGGCUAACUACGUGCCAGCAGCCGCGGUAAUACGUAGGGGGCAAGCGUUAUCCGGAUUUACUGGGUGUAAAGGGAGCGUAGACGGCGAUGCAAGUCUGAAGUGAAAGGCGGGGGCCCAACCCCCGGACUGCUUUGGAAACUGUAUGGCUGGAGUGCAGGAGAGGUAAGUGGAAUUCCUAGUGUAGCGGUGAAAUGCGUAGAUAUUAGGAGGAACACCAGUGGCGAAGGCGGCUUACUGGACUGUAACUGACGUUGAGGCUCGAAAGCGUGGGGAGCAAACAGGAUUAGAUACCCCGGUAGUC
rnacentral:rRNA from 1 species